ACGUAGGGUGCAAGCGUUGUCCGGAAUUACUGGGUGUAAAGGGAGCGCAGGCGGAUCGGCAAGUUGGAAGUGAAAACUAUGGGCUCAACCCAUAGAUUGCUUUCAAAACUGCUGGCCUUGAGUAGUGCAGAGGUAGGUGGAAUUCCCGGUGUAGCGGUGGAAUGCGUAGAUAUCGGGAGGAACACCAGUGGCGAAGGCGACCUACUGGGCACCAACUGACGCUGAGGCUCGAAAGCAUGGGUAGCAAACAG
rnacentral:rRNA from 1 species